UUUCCGUAGGUGAACCUGCGGAAGGAUCAUUGUCGAUGCCCGAACGUCGGACGACCCGCGAACGUGUUCACCAACCGUACGCGCGGAGGGGAGCGCGGCGCGCCCUGCGUGCCCGCCCCCCGUCCGCGCUCCAACCAAACCCCGGCGCAGGUCGCGCCAAGGAACUCGAACGAAUCGCCUGCCCCCCGCCCCGGUCCCGGCGUGCUGGGGGGCGGAGCAUUCCUGUCGUAUUCACAACGACUCUCGGCAACGGAUAUCUCGGCUCUCGCAUCGAUGAAGAACGUAGCGAAAUGCGAUACUUGGUGUGAAUUGCAGGAUCCCGCGAACCACCGAGUCUUUGAACGCAAGUUGCGCCCGGAGCCAUCUGGCCGAGGGCACGUCUGCCUGGGCGUCACGCAUCGCUGCCCCCCUCCCGCAACCCCAUUCGGGUUCUGGGGCUGGGGCACACGCUGGCCUCCCGUGCGCACCGUCGCGCGGAUGGCUUAAAAUUGAGUCCUCGGCGCCUGUCGUCGCGACACUACGGUGGUUGAUCCAACCUCGGCACCGCGUCGCGACCUCAGACCGCGCGCCUCCUCCUAUCAUAGGGAGCGAGCGAGCGAGGCCUCCUAGACCGACCCUCCGAACGUCGCCUCCAGAGACGAUGCUCUCGACGCGACCCCAGGUCAGGCGGGACUACCCGCUGAGUUUAA
rnacentral:rRNA from 1 species